CGAGUUUGCGACUGACUUGCAGCCUCAAACAUUCUCAAAUGUUGCACUCAUCUUGGUAAAUUGAGCAACCGGCUUGUGCAAGGGAUGUGUGCGUGUCACUGGACGAUGGUUUGGAUGGACAAACUGCAAUGUGGAAACAACUGUUGCGUACUGGAAUGAAGAAGAAGCAAUUUUUCAAUGCUGCAUUUCCCACCGCUCCCGUGCGAUCCGAUCCGAAUUAAGCAAAAUCGAAUCGAAUCGAACUCAAUCGACUGUCCACUCGGUUCGGCUCGUUUUGCUUUAUUUCCUUUCUAAUUUUUUUUAUCUUUUACUCUAUUUUUGUAAACCCACGCCUUUUUCCACAGCUGGACUUGCGACUCGCAUGGAUUGUCGGCUACGUCAACCGACUUUGUCUGAUAAUUUGGAUCGAGAUCAGAUAAAUCAGUUACCCGAAAUUUAUCAGAUUCAUCAAUGUAAACGCUACAGACAGAAAGUAAAUAUGGCAUAAACACAUUCUCCUCAAUAUAUGAUAUUAGCUUGCAACUGUAGACAAGUCUAAAAAAAAGGAUAUUCCGGAAAACCAUUUCAUUUGGGAAUCGGACUGGUAUAUCUUUUGAUGGAAAGAAUUUGUUGGGUCGAUGUGAAAUACUGUUUCCCUUCCUCACGCAUUCACUCAGUCCUUGAUUCCUUCAAACAAUCUCUUUCUUUCUUUUUCAAUAUCCUAUUUCUUGUAUAGUAGUCGACUUUUUUUCUUGUUUCUCCUUUCUUGCUUCUAGUUGGGCCUUUACUCAUUUUCAGCAAAACCUUGAUUUUGUGAAUGGGGUAAUGAGUGCUAUUUUACGCCUCUCAAAUUUUUACUAUUUUAUCCCAGUUUUCACGUUUCCACGUUGGCUGCUUAUUCUACCUUCGCCCUCCAGAUGCGUGAAAUCUGCUAUUCGACUUUAAUUAUCGUAUGCGAUUUCCAUAGCUUCUGGUUUCCUUUGCGUUAAUUCAGCGUACAAUAAACUAAGUUAGACUUUGCUCAUGGUUAUAGUAUCUGACAUGGCUCGUCGUGAUCGUUUUGGCGUUUUACAGCUAGCUCGACUGUUUCAGCUUUAGCAAACAAUAUUCGUGAAUCAUUAAAUCCUUUCCGUUUCAAACCGUUUUAUUACAUUCAUUCUUUUGCCAUGCCGUGGUUUACCCACAAGUUAAACAGCAUCCCUGUGAGUACACCAUUAUUCUUGCUUGCCGCAAAGUUUACAAGAUGAACCUCCUUAGCCAAAGGAAUCCCUUGCAUAUGCUUUGAAAAACAAGUCCAAUAGAGAAAUUGAGUUAAACAGCAAGAAGUAAUACAUGGCUAAAUUGUUCAAAUCCUGCAAUACCAAUCUCUUCCAUAGAAGGAAGACAAUGGGCGAAUUACCACACAAUCUUCUAAUGUAUUAUUUCUAGCAAAAAAAGCAAGAAGCCUACAGCACCCCGGAUUCCCAUGUUGUCUCCAACCAUAGUACUAACGAGGCCCUCAGACGCUUAACUGCAGUGAUCGGACGGGAACUGGUGUUUUCGCCUAGGUAUGGCCGUAGACAUUUGCUUCAUUAAUUUAAAAGUUAUAUAUCAUUAGCAAUGUCUUGUAACAUGCUACUUUAUGGUAUUUUGCUCUGCAUCAUUUACUAGUAAGUUUACCAGUAAAUGGUGUGACGCGAAAUCCUUUUGAUGUAAAAUUAUAUCUUGUUUGAAAAAAAAAAAAAAAAAAAAUUACGUUUUAUGUAUAUCUCAUCACCCAAGCAUUCCAUUGAUUCACUAACGUAUAAGACUAAUUCUUCCUUUUGCUUCAACUUCCAUGAUUUAUGAAAAUAAAAUAACCGCUUUUUCUCCUUUUACAUUAUUCUCCAAAUACAUCGUCAUAUACCCAAGGUCAAGCCGUUACAGAAUACGCUUUCCUUUCAAUUUCAAUCAAACACUCCAAAUUCUCUGAACCAUUGCAAUCACUGCAAUAUCAGUACCUCAAUCUAUCUGCAUGCUGAAAUUUUGGCUGCUUCUUUUCCACAUUUCCCUUUGCAUAUUUAUGUACAAAUAAUUCGUAAACAUCAUUUUCUGCUUUACCAAUUGUGAACUAAUUCACUACCUUGAAUGCAACAACAAUUUAAGCAUCGCAAUUUUUACUGUUAUCUUAAGCAGUUAAAAUAAUCAGAUGUCCUUUUGUUGUAAAAAUAAUUGAUAACCAUGCUUUAGCGCUUUAAAAUAAGCAUCCAGUAUGCGAACAUUAAUUUGAUUCAGACACCCCUUGUCCAUUAUACAAUUAUUAUGACUCACAUAAUAAUUUAAAAAAAAGUAUUAUAACUAAAACGCCGGGUCGCAAUCCAUUAUUACCAAAGAUGUCUUUUACUGACUUACAAGAAUUGCUAUUUUAACAACCAACUAGGAAAUUUGCGCUUUGAAGUUUAGUCUCGUCAUUAUGCAAAAUAAUAUUAACGAAGCUAUAAAAAAAGAUUAAAAAAAAUAAAGCCGUUAGUCUAAUUAUACAUAAAAAAGUCUUACUAAAAAUUUGUUGAAAAAAUAAUGUGCGAAACGAACCGGUAAUCUUAGGUACAUAAAAUAAGACAGAAAAAAGAAUAAUUAAAAAGUAAAUCCCCUAAUUUGCAGCACGACGUCCGUAAAUACGAAGACGCUUGACGCCGCCAUCGGGGAUAAUUAUCAUACGCACAUGGGUCAUCGGGGUUGAGUUAUUUUGAAGAUUGGUGAAGACAUGUUCCAUAUGGGGACCGAGCUUACGAGCUGGUAAAAUCGUAACCCACUGGGCAUCGGGGCCAGGAAUGUGGUCAGGAGAAUCAAUGGCUUCUAAGAUGACCUCUUUAGGAUAAUUGCCUUUAAAGUGGUUAGUGUCGAUAAGAGCAUCAUCAAUGUAGCCUCUUGCGCCAAGCUUUACAAUAACCCAGUCAACAUGACCCUUUUCCCUACUUCUAGCAGUUUCCCAACCAUCGCCCAUGUUCACACCACGUCCAGGAAGGAGGAGAUUGUCCUUCUUACCAAAAUGUUGAUCACUACAUUGAACAACCAGUCCACCGAGGUACAUGUGAGCAAGAUCCAAACGAGCGUCCAAAUCGGCGGGGAAAACAGGCACAACGUUGCCAUAAAGACGGAAUCGAGCUAUACCGCCGUCAGGAUACAUACAUAAACGAACAUGGGUAAAAUUUUGCUGUGGUAUCUCCUUAAAGCGAUAGAUAUGUCUCUGAGUGGGUCCACAAGGAAGCUUAGGAAGUAUAGGGGUCCAAUUUGUUUUGGCGUCGGGGUUACCUUCCGGUAAAAAAGCAGCUUCCACACUCACUUCUGGAGCAUGAUUGCCGUUAAAAAAGGUAGUAUCAAUUUCACAGCCAGUAACCCUUCCACUUGAAGGCCCUAACUUAACUAUAACCCAGUCACAAGGAGCGGUAUUGUGUCUACGCGUCUCCCAUCCAUCAUACCAGGCACCCGUUUCAACGAAUACACCGGCUUUGCGAAUAGGGUCCGCAGGAUUGAUGAGGUUUUCGCAAGAUGCAAAGAAAUCAUCGCUACACCCAAGCACCUGACCACCAAGAGCUCGAGAGAUGAGGUCUACGCUGCUCUGGCCAAAGAAGGCAUCAGCCUGCUCAGGCGAAAGUCGUUCAACGUUUUCCACUGACAUUUUCGUAAAGAGAAAGUAAGAUGGGAAUGCUAAUAAACAGAAAGAAAAAGGAAAUUAGAGGUUCCAGAGCAAAGGGACUCGGAUAUGUAUGAACACGUAAAUAAGGGAAGAUGGAAGAGGAAAUCGUAUCAACAGAAAUCCAAGGUUAAACGAUUGUUGUAAUUUGCAAUCAAUUGAUUAGAAAAAUAGAAUUCAAUUCUCGUAAAAUUUAAGUAAUAGUAAAUGAAAACAAGAAAGUAUCGUGGAAUUGAAGUCGUUUUUGCGUGGCUUGUUCUAGCCA